rnacentral:rRNA from 1 species
CUUAAGUCGGAUGUGAAAUCCCUGAGCUUAACUNANUUUNUUGCAUUCGAUACUGGGAAGCUAGAGUAUGGGAGAGGAUGGUNGAAUUCCAGGUGUAGCGGUGAAAUGCGUAGAGAUCUGGAGGAAUACCGAUGGCGAAGGCAGCCAUCUGGCCUAAUACUGACGCUGAGGUACGAAAGCAUGGGGAGCAAACAGGAUUAGAUACCCUGGUAGUCCAUGCCGUAAACGAUGUCUACUAGCCGUUGGGGCCUUUGAGGCUUUAGUGGCGCAGCUAACGCGAUAAGUAGACCGCCUGGGG